GCAGGAUCAACCAGGUAGCAUUCCUCACUGACACCGGCGUUGUAAGACGGCGCUAAAACUGCAAAGGUCCUAGCACGUCAGUACAACACCGGACGUCAUUCGUUUGUGCGAAUUAUGCCAGUUUUGGGCAUUAGAAAGUCAUCGAGACCCCGUACCCUCUAGGUAUUCCGCAUCCGAGAGCUCAAGCAAAAAUUCAUGGGCCGCAACAACACCACGACGAGUGAGUAGCACGGAACACAAAUAAUGCUUCGACGUUCACCCGAAGCCGCACCCUUCGAAGGGGCAACACAAGGCGAAUGAUGGGCAAAUUAACAAUCGAAUUCCAUUACAGUAGGUAUGCAACACAGGAAACUGAAACGUACGACCAAGGCUAAUGUUGCUCUUGGGCCGAACAAGUGAAGAAGAUUGUAUGGAAGGACGUCACUGCCCAAGCAGAGAUCCA
rnacentral:misc_RNA from 1 species